rnacentral:rRNA from 1 species
UACGUAGGGGCUAGCGUUAUCCGGAAUUACUGGGCGUAAAGAGCUCGUAGGUGGUUUGUCGCGUCGUCUGUGAAAUUCCGGGGCUUAACCUCGGGCGUGCAGGCGAUACGGGCAAUACUUGAGUGCUGUAGGGGAGACUGGAAUUCCUGGUGUAGCGGUGAAAUGCGCAGAUAUCAGGAGGAACACCAAUGGCGAAGGCGACUUUCUGGACUGUAACUGACGCUGAGGCACGAAAGCGUGGGUAGCGAACAGGAUUAGAUACCCUGGUA